UCAAAUGCGUAAAAAUACCCCCAAACCUAAAUCUAACAUUGUCCUCAAUGUUAAAGAAAAUUUAAAGCAGUAAGAGGACAGAGGAGAAGUACCUGAUAUGGGUGGGUUAAUUGAAAGUUGGGGCAAAAUCUCCCAAACCUGCAUGUUAGUAAUUUAUUGAUGAUUUUUUUUUUAAUAAAAGAAACUUACAUGUUGGGUUGCCUCCCAAAGAGCGCUAAGUUUUAUGUCUUCAGCCAGACAAUUCCGAUUUACUCAUAAUAGAUAGGGUCGGUCAGAAGUG
rnacentral:lncRNA from 1 species